UCUUUUCUGCGUCCUCCUGCUCUUCCUGGUGAAGACUGAUUUAACAGAUGUACCUGAAGAAGACAAGAAGAAAGGCAGUAAAAUAACAAUGCAGGACAGCUUCUGAUAGGGGCUCCCAUGGGAAGAUCAACAAGUGACAUACAUUUCCAUCCUUCUGUUGUCAGACUUGUGGAUAGAAAUCUUCAUCUUGGAGGUCAGAUGCAAUAGUUUGGAUAUAGCCGAGGAAAAGAAACCUGAAGAAGAGAAGG